ACUUGAGUUUGACUUCAUGGGUUUGCCGUGUGCCCCUGAACAAACCAGUUAUCCUCUCUAUGCCUUAUUUCGGUAUGCCCAUCUAACACUAAUUACCACCCCUCCCUGACUGCCCCCAAACCUUACCAGAAGAAAUGGCAUGAAGUUACGGAGACACUUUGAACUCAUUGGCAAAUUGUGCACUGUGAGGGGAAAGCACUGUGGCGGCCAUUUUCUUUUCUUCCUUGAGAAAGUCCCUUGCUAAUCAUUAAGACUGGCUGAGUAAGCUUGUUCCUUUACAUUUGAUGCUGGCCUGGGUGCUGGAAUAUGGAAAUGAGGAAGAUCCUGCCUGAGGAUUUCAUGACAGUGCUGCGAUUACCGACGUGAGCCACUGUGCCCAGCCUCACUUUAAAAAAAAAAAAAGGUUAUGAAGCAUCUCAACACAAGACCUCCUUUGCUCAUCACAACCACCCAGUGAAGCAGGCAAGACAACAGAAACUCCCCACCUGUGAUAGAUGUGAGGCCUGAAGUCUCCCACAUACCCACGGCAGAUGCAACGCACAGCGGUGACCAAUGGUAGGGAUAACAAGUAUUGCUUCCGCCCAUUCAGUACUUCUUGCAUGCCAGAUCUGUGCUAAGUGCUAGAUGAACACAGUCUCUUUUCAUUCUCAUAGCUCUUUAAAACAGGUAUUGUUUUCUUUUAAAACAAAUUGUUUUGUUAAAUAUAAAUAUCAUGUACCUUAUAUAUAUAUUAUAUAUAAAAAUACAUGUAAUUUACCAUUUUAACCAUUUCAAAAUGUCCAGUUCAGGAGCAUUAAGUACAGUCACAUUGUUGUGCUACUGUCACUACACCAUCCACAGAAUUCUUCCUCUUUCCAAACUGAAAUUCUACGCACUUUAAACAAUAACGCCCUAUUCCCCCCUCCCUCCAGUCUCUGGCACCCACCAUUUUGCUUUCUGUCUUUGUGAAGUUGACCACUCCAGCUAUAUCAUAUAGUAUUUGUCUUUUUGUGACUGCUUUAUUUCAAUUAGCAUAAUAUCCUCAAGGUUCUUCUAUGUUGUAGCAUAUACUGGAAUUUCCUUGUGUGUGUGUGUAUGAACCUCUAUAAAGGAUCCUUCCUUUUUAAGGUUGAACAAUAUUCCAUGUAUGUAUAUAUCCAGUUUUGCUUAUCUGUUCAUCUGUCAAUGAACACUUGGAUUGUUGCCACAUUUUAGUUAUUGGGAAUAAUUUUGGCUAUUGUGAAUAAUCUGUACACAUGAGUGUACAGAUAUUUCUUUGAUAAAAUAGGUAAAUAAAAUUGCUUUAUAAAGAAAA
ensembl:lncRNA LINC00964 long intergenic non-protein coding RNA 964